rnacentral:tRNA from 1 species
GGCCGCGCAGGGAGCGGCGGCGGCCCUCGGCGUGUCGCUGACGCACCGCGACGCGGCGCGGCGCCUCCAGUUCGUCACCGGGCACGACCGC